rnacentral:lncRNA from 1 species
UUCCACCUUCACAAACCCUUCUCCAUGCUGGCACACCGAAGACGUAUGUAGCCGCUUCCUGACACAACCACCGGACCCAUCUCUCGUAGACCAUUCCAAUGGGUACUUGGGCUCGAACCCAGGUAAACAGGCACAUCCAAAUUCAUUUGCAUUGGCGAGUUCACACGUACUAUAAGCACCACAAAUUCCAUAAUAGUGGCACUGAAACUGAGGGGACUUCCAGUAUUCCUUCCACCGACCAUCACUUUCUCGCCAUGUUAAAGCCUUUACUACUCCUGAAUGAUCCACUAUUAUUCUUAUCAGAUAAGAAUCAUCAGGAACUGUGUAGAAAGAGUACUUUUCGUCUGGAUCAUUUACAAAAGUGCUUGUGUAUAAGCCCAUCUGACUUCUCCAUGGCCAAGGGGGAGAUCUACAAAUUGGUUUUUUACCAUUAUAGAAGAAGAAUUGUGGCGAGCCAUUUGGGUUGAUCCUAACUGAAAAGUCCCCGAACCCAGGGUCUUCGGCUGAUCUCCAUGAUGUUAGGAACCGAUCAAUUCCUAAUUUUCGAUCCAGCCCCAGUUUCAUUCCAGGAAGCAGGAUGUUCGUAGGAUAAUCGAAGCUUUGCCAUACUGUUUUUCUGCUUCUUUUCCUGACCAAUAUCAAAUUUCCUGAAUCCAAGAGUUGAGCUUCACAAGUAUCAUUUUCUUCCACUGAAACAUUUGUAGACCACACAGGAAGCUUUCGGUCAUCGUUACCAUAGAGAAUGAGGUUACCAUAUUGGUCUACAAAGAGAAAUCCUGAGGAACCAAUGAUUGGAUCGUUCCUGUUUGCAACCCACACCACAGUUUGUUCUGGUACUUUAUGGUACCAAAUUCCAAGAUAUCUAUUGCUAGAACUACCUGGACUGAAAAAUCCCAGUGCGAAAUUAUUUCCUUUGGAGAUAAGAAGGUCACCUUCUUUAAUGGUUUGGUUCGUCUUUAAGGAGUCGUGGGAUGUACAAGAUGAGAAUUGGAGCAUUAAAAGAGAAAAAAACAGGAACGGUUUUUCAGCUUCCAUUAUUGGGAAACUGGAUCUUGGCUUUUGGACAAUUUGAAUGUUGCUUUGUAGAGAAAGGAGGUGUUCUUCAGACAAGUGUGCGACCAUUAGAGAAGUUACGUGAAAAAAGUGGUUAUUGUGGGAUUUUUGUUUUAUGGGUAGGCUGUUCGGAAAUGAAUAAUAAUUAUUUUCUAAAAUGUUUUUUUAUUAAAAAUAUAUUAAAAUAUUAAUUUUUCGAUCAUGAAACUAUUAAUUUAUCCAAAAAUAUUUUGAUUCAAUAUACACUAAGUAUUUCAAUUUUUAUUUUUUUUGCGCGCGUGGCGUUUAGAUAAGACAAAUGUACAUUUACAUAUUUUUCUCACAAUUCUUUGGUAUUGGACUUCUAAAUGUUUUCUUAAGCCACGUGCCGCUGUCGGCAAAAUAUUAUUUUGACUUUUAGGGUCCUAUCGUUUGGUCGUUGGUCCUCCUAGAGUCAAGGAGUUUUUUUAAACAGGUAUCCGGGGAGGAGGGAAUUAAAAUCACCUCCAGGAAAUCUCCAUAGCUGUUGACUAGCACACCGUUGAUUUCUUGUUCAGUUUACUAAUCAGCUAUCCACUCUUUAAUCCCUGGAUUACUUUUCUAACUUCCUUUUUUUUCUUUUUUUUUUAUUCCAAGGUUAGGUAAAACACGAAUGGUUUAUGUGCUUCCAUCUCAGAAGCAAUUAAAUUGAAUAUUUAGUAGACUUUAUUAUUAGUUUAUUGUGCAUGUUAUGAGAGAAAUUGUAAUUGAUUUGUCCUACAAAAUCAUAAAUCAUAUAAUUGAGAAUGUAAAAUUAAAAAAAAAACAUAAAAGUUUAGUAAUGGUCUUAAAAAGGGAAAGAAUUGAUAUAUGUGCUAUGGAGGGUAUGGUGACUUUUAAAUCCAAAAAAAAAAAACUAUUUAAUUUUUUUAUUUAAUCAAGCUAACUUUCUGUUUUUUUAUUUAGUUUUUUCAAUCAUCAUUCAUCUAGUUGAAUUGAUUUUUUUUCAAAAUAAGGAGUUUUACAAGGACUAAAUUGCAUAAAUGUUAAGGGUGCAAUUUUGUAUUUUAGAUUAGGACACAUUAUGCUUAAAUAAUAUUUAUUUAAUAUUCUAAUAUUUAUUUGAUUUGAUUUUUGUUAGUUAUGUCAACUUAAUUCAUUAUUUAAAACAAUGUUAUACUUUAUAAGUGGCAUUCCAUAAUUGAUAUUUAAAAUUUAUUAAAUCAGAAUUAUUUUUAUUGUUUAACUACAAUUUUCAAAUUUAAGAAACUUUGAUUUAUUAAUUUCCCCAUGCACUGCAUCACUUGAACUUUACUCUUUAGGGUUUUCUUUCUAGUGGGCAUCAUGAGAAGAUACGCAUGAUUCAAGAAGGUACUGUUUUUUAAUAUUAAAAUAGUAAUAUAUCAAAAUUUAUUUUUUAAAUAUUAAAAUAAUAACAUAUUAAUUAAUUAGUCAAUCUCAAUUAAUCAUCCAAAUUUAUAAUCAAAGUUAUAAAACUAUAAAAACCUUAUGAAAAAAUUAAAACAAAUAAUUAUGUUGAAUUUCAAAACAAUUAUUUGAAGAAUGAAAUUUAAAAUUAAAAAAAAAGAUUCAAAUGAACCCAAAUCAAUUUAUUAAAUCCAUAAUUCGAGUUAUCUAUUCCACACUUGACAAUUGUUUUUUGCUCUUACAUUAUUUUGCAUUUAAUUACACAACAAAAAAUCUAAAAAUAAAGAACAAACAUUACAUGCGUGUGGGAUUUAAAAAAAAAAUGUUUAACUAACUUUUUUUUUUUUUUAAUCUUCAGGGGGGCUGAAAAUGCAUUAAGUAAAAAAUAAAAACAUUUUCAAAAAUUAACAAUCCAUCCAGGGGCAUCACCCACCCAUCCACCUACCUGACUAUAUAAAAAUAAAAAAUAAAAAUUAAAAUAUUUAAUGAAAAACAAGUUUUAAAAAAUAAAAAUUAAACUAAGUUAAUAUGUUAUAUUCAUGACCUGAUUCAUUUAUCCCACUAAAUUUAAUACCAUAUUAUUUAUUAAGAUAUUUUUCAUUUUGUUAUACAUCAAUGGAUGCAAGAUGUUUUUUAUAUCAAAUAAAAAAAAUAAAAAUAAAACAAAUAGGAUAGGCACGUGGGACAACACAAUGACCUAUUUUUUAAAGUAAAAUAAGAAAAAUGGUUUUUUAUAAGCCAAUUUAAAAAGGAAAAAAAAAAGUAGAAGAGGUCACAUGUAUUAUCUAUGCAAUGACCAUAAAAGCAUACCAAAUAAAAUAUCAUGAACUAAACAUAUCAUAUUUAUAUCUAAGCAAUUCACUUAAUUUAAUUAAAAAAACAAAAUUUAUUUUUUAAGAAAAGCUAAAUUUAACAAAAAACGAUGAAAAAAAAGACUCGAGAAAACCUAAGUCAUUUUUAAAAUUAGUAACAAAACCCUAUAGACAGUAAAUAAAAAAACAAAACUCAAUAUCUAAUUAAAUGAAAUGUUGAAGGAUAAAACUAAAAAAAAAAUAUAUAAGUUUGAAAACAAGAACAAAAAAUGAAUCGGAGCAAAUGCUCAAAAUCUAAGUUAAUCUCCUUAAUUCAUAACCUAUUAAAUCUUAGAUCUAGACUCAAUAAAAAAGUUUAAUUCAAUGUUAAAGGAUAAAAUAAAAUAAAAACAUUGUAAUUUUGUUUUGUCAAAGUAAAGAAAGUAGCAAUAAAAAAAUGAAGGUGGACAAAAUAUUUUUAAAAAAUUAAUUUUAAAAAUGAUCUCAAAUAAAAUAAAAGGCAGUCAAAAGAAUGAAUACAAAAUUUAAUAUAUUAAUAAAAUUAAAAGGAUAAUGAAAGUAAAAAUAAUCAAAUCAAAAAAUAAAGAUCAAAUCAAAAGAAAAAAAUAAUGGUUACUGUGAAAUUUUGAAAGGCUAUUAUGGAAAUCAAAGAUGAGAGAUAAAAAGAAAAAAAAAGCCAACCAAGGCCAAACUAAAUGGACUUACAUCACACACAACACCUAGAGAGGUAGGUCGUAUUAUGAUGAAUUGAAAACACCAAAGAAAGCUAUUUUUAAUAGUUGUAAGCUGCCACACAUACCGUUUAAACACAAAAGAAAGGCUUAUUCACUUAUAUGUGCAAUGAAUGCAUCAACUAUUUUUGCUUUUUUUUUUCCUUUACAUUUAUUGAAAGACUAAAUUGACUACAUAAUAAUAUUAACAACAACAAUAACAAUAAUAAAAAUAAAAAACAAAAGAAAAGUACAAAUUAGCCUUUAGAGGCCUCUAAGUUAGAAAAUUUUGAUUUCAUGGAUAAUAUAAUUAUUUUACCGUGCUAUAAAAUAUAAAAUAUAAAACAAUGCCUCUAUACAUUAGGAACAUAGUUUUUUAAAAGCAUUUAAGUACUUAUACUAUAUAAAAAAAUGAAAAGACCAAGAAACCUAUGAUUAAUUUUAUAAUGAUCAAUGAAGCAUGCAAAAGCCUGCAUUACCCCUGAUAGAUAGGCAAAGUUUUUAUGUGAGAAGGGAAAUAGUAAAUUUACUGCUAUAAUCCAUAAUAAUUCAACACAUAUCUAUAAUAAUUUUUCCAUGGGGUUUAGGUUUUUGUUAAUUCUACAUUGAAAUCAGGAAUUAAUGUAUUUACAAUAAUCAUUUAACUGGCUUGGUAUCAUAGUCUAUCAACUAAAAAAAACAUCUUAAAUAAAACUAAAACAUAAUAAAAGAAUUUCAAAUCAAAUAGAAAAAAGAAUUGUAAAUCAACUAAAAAAAUAUUGAAAAUCCCAAACAAUAAUUUCUUAGACUUAUUUGAAAGUCUUCCUACAUUUGGAUGAAUAUAAAAUUUUAACUUUAUAGAAAAUAAAAACUUUAAAAUUUUUUAUCAAAAUUUUAAUUUCUUCCAACAAUUAAAUCAAAAGUUAAGUUGUAUUUUAAAAAAAUAGUCUACUACAAUAAAAUAGCUUGAAAGAAAACACUAUUAGGACCAGUGGUUUUUCAAAAACACCAGCAUUUCCUUGCCAGUGGUGCUGUUUCUUAAGAAAAAAAAAAUCGCCCUGUGCUAGUUUUUCAAUUUUAUUUAAAGGUACUAAAUUUAAAAAAAAUCAGAAAAAAACACUGGAACAUAGUUCAGGAAAAAAGAGAAAAGGAUCUGAACCAAAAAUUUAUUUAAACCUAACACACAAGAACAUAGCAUCCAAUUGGUUUUAUGUUGACUAGCACGGUUUAAUCGAAGAAUUCUAGUCUUAACCUCGGAUUGCCUUACCAUACCAUUAUAUCUAGAAUGUUCACUUAUUUGGGAGGUUUUUCAUUGACUUGGCGUGAGAGGUUUUUAGAGAUUAUAGACUCACAAAUUCUAUGAUCAUUUUUUCUGGUUUCUAGGUUUUAUUUUGAGACACUUUCUAUUUUAUGGCUUGCUUCUAUGAGUCGUCUUAACACCAUUGAUAAAGUAUAUAUUUUUCAAAUCAUUCUCUCUUCGAUAUGUAUCCUUUGUAGGUCAUAAGUUGAAACACAUGAACAUUUAGUCUUUUAGUGCCCUUUUGCUGUUAUAGUUUAGGGUGCUAUCACAAGCAUAACCCUUAUGGUUUGAUCUUUUUUGACAUGGUGUCAUCUACUUUAGUGGGCAUAUAAACACUUGAAAAAGAAGGAAUUUAUGUAUCUACUUGCUCGAUUAGCCCUCUUAGCCUAAGUUUACUUCAUCUAGCAUAAGAGAAAUAACCGAGUCUUUCAUUAGAUUUUCCGAUCUCAUUAGGAUAUUUGCAAAAACAUUUUUUAUUUGGUCUAGUUCUAUUUAGUAGAGCUCGAACCAAGGUUUCACAUCUCAACUACUUUCAAAUCCAUUUGGUGCUUUCGAGAGUCACGAGAUAUCAUUGUUCUUACUAAUUUCAAGAUUUUAUUUAACACAUGUUCAUAUGUAAUAAACUAGUUAACUGGUUAAAUAAUUUCAAAAACUGGUUAAUCGGCUCAUCUGUUAUUUGUCUUCACAAUCUACUUUUGUAUGUUUUUCAAUUUCUUUUUUAACUUUGGCUUCUUUUCCUUUUUAAUUUUGAUUAGAUGAAGUUUUGAUUAGAUGAAGUAACAAGCUUUUUUAUACAUAUUGGGGUGUACCCCUAUAAUUUCUUCCCUUUAAUACAAUUACUUUUGUGAUGUUUUGAAAUUAAAUGAGUAGGUAAAAGGCAAUAAAGCCCUUGAAGGCUAAAAAUGAGUAUAAAUAAAUAAGGGGUAUUGUAGUAAUUGAACAAAGAGUUGAUAAAUAUAAAUAGAAAAGAAAAUAGAAGAGAGAGCUGUGUUUUAAGAGUGAAAACUGACAGGAGAAGAGAAGAAAAGGGGAGGAAGAAGAAGAGAAAAGAGGGAAAGAUAAGGAAAGGAGAAGAGAAUUGGAGGAAAUAAGUUUAAAGGUAAGAUUAUGUAUAAAUGUGUGUUCUUUAAGCUUUAAGUUCUGUUUUGAUAAAUGUUAGGGUUUUGAAUAUUGUGUUUUGAGUUUGAUUGAUGAAUUAAUUGGAAUGUUAUGGGUUGAUUGUUGUGGGUAAUUGGUUAAUUGGUUGAUUGUGAAAGAUUGGAGGUAAAGAUGAUGAUUUUGAGUUAUGAUUUUAUUUGAAUGGUGAAAUUGUGUUAGAAAUCAGGAGAUGACAGUAGGUAAUCUGUGAAAUUCUGGGUUUGAGGUUGAAGAUGAUGAAAAUUCAAUUUGGUCCCUCAAUUUGUGAAAUUACAGUUUGGUCCCUAAACUUUGGGAAAAUUAUAAUUUGACCCCUAAUUGUAUUUUGAGAUUCUGGACAGUGUUAUUAUGAGGUUAAGGAUGAUGAAUCUCAGUUUGAUAAUUGAUUGGGAAUAUUUUCAGUUUGGUCCCUCAAUUUUGGGAAUUUACAUUUUAGUCCCUGAACUUUAUGAAAAUUACAUUUCGGUCCCUGGUUCGUUCUAGACAGAAUUAAGGAUGGUUUAUGGGUGAAAAUUCAGUAUAGUUAUGUAUUUUCCAGAUUGGUCCAAUUUUGGUAAAAUUACGUUUUGGUCCCUGUUUUGGAAAAUUGUCGUUUUAGUCCAUUAAAUUAGGAGAAUAAACCUGGUUUUAUUUUAUGCAUUGGGAUCUCUUGUUUGAGUUGCUUUUGAGUAUAUUUUCAUAUUGUUGUAGGUUCUCCUAACGAUCCUCAAUAGGAUUUUCGGGUCUUUCGUCUGACAUUCCUUUUUGUUCUAUAUUUUCCGGGUGAGUGGGAUAAUCUUUAAUAUGCAUAUAUGAUAAUUAAAUAUGUAUGUUGAUUAUACAAUGAGUACAACUCGUUAAUUUCUUGAAUAAUUAUAUAUGUUGCUUAUUUUCCGAAUACUCAUUUAUUCUUGAAUUUGCACUCGCAAUCUGUCAAAGUAAAUUCUAUUUGAUAUGAUAUACGUUUCUUUGAUGAUUAUGUAAAUAUCUAUUAUGCCUUGAUAUGAGACUUGUCAGUAACUCCAUGCUAACGGAGAGUAGUUAGUCUAUGUGCACAUAGUAUUCUGUAAACCUAGCUGGUGAGAGAGGCAUCAGCCUGUGGCGACUGAUCAUCCCACAGUGGUCACCUUUGGGUGUCAUCUGGUCACCUUCGGGUGUCAUCUGGUCACCUUCGGGUGUCAUCUGAUCUCUGACAUGUACUCCACUACGUUAUGAUGAUAUGUUCAGUAUGUAUAUGUAUAUGUAUAUCAAGAUAAAUGAUCUUGCGAACUAUUAAUAUCAAGAAUAUCUAAAAUGUAUAUUAAUUAUUAUUCCCUCACUGAGUUGGUUGAACUCACCCCUCAUUCUUAAUAUUAUUUCAGGUUCUUAGUUUCUGAUAGCAGGUGAACUUUGUUGAGUGUUCCUGCUUCUUCAGUUUUAAGUUGGUAUGCCUUACUUAUCUUUCAAGGCUGUUUGAUUCGAUGUCUUAGGCGCUCCACUAUUACCUUGUUUUGAUUAAGUUUGGAUUUUUGACAAUGUAAUGAGUAUUAUGAAUUAUUGUUUUUGUUUUAAUUACUGAUGAGGAGUUUUAAACUACCUUUUGGUUUUAUCAGUUUUGAAUAAUAUAAUAUUUCUGAAGAUUAUGAAAUGCUGCGUAUUUUUGAAUAAAUUAUUCUUUUGAUAUGUUCGUUUUGAGGCUUAGCNNNNNNNNNNNNNNNNNNNNNNNNNNNNNNNNNNNNNNNNNNNNNNNNNNNNNNNNNNNNNNNNNNNNNNNNNNNNNNNNNNNNNNNNNNNNNNNNNNNNNNNNNNNNNNNNNNNNNNNNNNNNNNNNNNNNNNNNNNNNNNNNNNNNNNNNNNNNNNNNNNNNNNNNNNNNNNNNNNNNNNNNNNNNNNNNNNNNNNNNNNNNNNNNNNNNNNNNNNNNNNNNNNNNNNNNNNNNNNNNNNNNNNNNNNNNNNNNNNNNNNNNNNNNNNNNNNNNNNNNNNNNNNNNNNNNNNNNNNNNNNNNAGACAAAGCAAGCAUCAUAACAUAAAUGUAGAUCGAGUAAAUAUCCACAAAAGAAUAGCAGACGAACACCACCCAUGUAGCAUUCCUUAUGAUGAUGCUGUUAGAUUUCUUCCUUGACACUAGGCAGAAAGGAUCAGUUGUUUAGAAUCAGGUUGGGAAUUUUAGCAGUGGGUACAUCGAGUGGAGAAAAGCUUGAUCUGUAGACUGUCUUGAGGAAAGGCAUUGACUAGCGUUUUCCCAUAAUUGAAAUUGCUACUAAUUAAGAUACUUGGAUGGAAAACGAGCCUUGAAAACAACAAAUCUUAGCCCUCCAAACAACCAUUAUAAAUAUUAUAUAAAUAAAAUAUUAAAAGAAAAGGACUACUUAUUUGAAAGCUAGUACAGUUCUAGCUCCUGCAUCAAAAGGAAAGCAGGUUGUUUAGGAGAAGGAAUUGUUGUUUCACUACUUGACAUAAGAACAAGAGACCGACUUGUAUGCAUUUCAAGGCUUUUAGGGGAAAAUAUAACUCCUCCAGUGAUGAAUCAACUAUCUCCAAUGCAUCGUCAGAAAUCAUUGUUAUUUAACUUUUCAUUGAAUUGGAUUGUUCGUGCAUGGUGGUGUGUGUAAAAUCUCAAAUCCCCAAUUUAGCAACAAGUAUUUUCAUUUCAAAUCUAAUGGAACUUCAUUUUAGCAAUUUUUCAGACAGCACAGCUUCAGCGACAGGCAAUUUCAGUAAUUGUCACCUCAUUUAGAGAACACUGUCCAUCUUCUACGUCUAAUGCUUUAUCAGAUUUUGUAAAGAGGAAUGCAGGUUGUUUUGGAGAAGGAAUCUCUGUUUCGUUACUCAACAUAAAAACAACCGCCAACAUAGAUGGUCUGUCCGUGGCAUCUUCUUGCACGCACAGGAGACCAAUUUGUAUGCAUUUCAAGGCUUCACGCGGAUGAUACAACUCGUUCAGUGAUGGAUCAACUAUCUCCAAUGCUUUGUCUUCUCUCCAUAAUUCCCACACCUGUGUUGUUCAUAUAAAUCAUUAGCAUACAAGAAAUGAGAGCAGACAACAUCUAAAAUUGUGAACAUUGAAAUUCAACCAAGAGCACUAAAAACUCUCUUGUAACUCACAUAUCCAAUCAAGGUCAAGGGAGGAUUCUGUUGAUAAAAUCUAUUGUUCUUCUUGCCACUCACAAUCUCUAACAACAUGACCCCAAAACUGAAAACAUCUGAUUUUACAGAAAAGUUUCCAAACACAGCAUAUUCUGGUGACAUGUAGCCACUGCAUCAGAAAAACAAGAUUCUGAAGUUUUAGUAUUCCUGGUAAUCGAUGAUAGUACUUUGUCACUCGGUCUUUGUUUUAGGCAAAGGUACUUACUAUGUUCCUACAACUCUCCUUGUCCUAUCUUCAGUUUGGUUGCCCUCAAAUAUUUUUGCCAUUCCAAAAUCUGAUAUUUUUGGGUUCAUCUCUGCAUCCAAUAGAAUGUUGCUGCAUUUUAAAUCCCUGUGAAUGAUUCUCAACCUGGAGUCUUGGUGAAGAUAUAAAAUCCCACGAGCUAUUCCAACAAUAAUAUCAAAGCGUUUUCGCCAAUCCAAUAACAAUCUUCUGCUUUCAUCUGUUGAAACAAUUAUUUUUCAGCCAGGUAUAAUUUGACAACUAGUGUAAAUCAGGGCAACAAAAACAUAAAGAGACUUACGGAAAAGAAACGAGUCCAAGCUUUUGUUUGGCAAGUAUUCGUAGAUUAAGAUUUGUUCUCCAUCCUGAGUGCAGUAACCUAGAAGUUUCACCAGAUUCCUGUGUUGAAGCUUUGCAAUUACCAUAACUUCAUUUUUAAAUUCUUCUGUUCCUUGUCCUGAACUUCUAGAUAACCUUUUUAUUGCAACCUCCAGUCCAUUAGCCAGCAGACCCUAAAAUCAUCUUACAAGAUCAAGCCUCUGGACUACAAUUAUGCAAAUUAGAGAGGCCAUUUAGUUUUUAGCUAAAUGCAAGAAACUCAACCUUAUAAACAGAGCCAAAACCACCUUGCCCGAGUUUGUUAGCUGGAGAGAAAUUGUUAGUGGCCGCCGUUAUGGUGCUGAGCUUGAAAUAUUCCAAUUCAGUAGAAGUGCUGUUUACCUGCAGUUCAGUACCUUCUUUUGCUCUCUUCUUGAGCCACAAAUAAGUAUACAGGCCAACGAGAAACCACGACAAUGCAAUUGAUGGUGCUAAAAUGGCCAGCAUCGGUUUUUCACGAGAACCAUUUGACUUCCUUGUAGUAUCAGCUGCACGAGAGUGAAAAGAAUAAAGAUUUAACUCUAUAGGAAAAGGCACCCCAUUUUCCAAUCGAAAUAUGACAAUACAUAUGGCAAAGGGUAGCCCUUUUGGCACCUAAAACGUACCAAUAUCUAUGGUUUCUUUCCUGCAGUGAAGAGCUUAUUAACUACAGUCAAGAGCAGUGACAAGCAUAGGAAAGCUCUUAUAAAUCAAUAUUUGUAAUGACAAUCCUAUGAAGUAGUUACUGAGCAGAAAAAGGGUACCUAAUUCAUAUGCAUCAACACGAACAUACAGAUCAUGACUUUCACUCCUAGCAUACUUAAUGUCUUCUAAUUCCUUGUACCAUGUCAAACAACCAUAAUUUUUUCCGGGAAUUGCAAUGAUUGCAUAUGCAGAGCAUGAGCAAUUCCUCUUGCAUUGCACUUCGCAGUCUGCAAGACUCUUGCUCAUAUCCACCCAAACUGCAGCUGAACUUUCCGGAAGAACUACAUUUUCCACCUUCACAAACCCUUCUCCAUGCUGGCACAUCGAAGACGUAUGUAGCCGCUUCCUGACACAACCACCGGUCCCAUCUAGCACAGACCAUUCCAAUGGGUACUUGGGCUCGAACCCAGGUAAACAGGCACAUCCAAAUUCAUUUAGAUUCGCAAGUUCACACGUACUAUAAGCACCACAAUGUCCAUAAUAGUCGCAGUGAAACUGAGGGUACUUCCAGUAUUCCUUCCACUGACCAUCACUUUCUCGCCAUGUUAAAGCCCUUACAUGUCCUGGAUGAUCCAUUAUUAAUCUUAGCAGAUAAGAAUUAUCAGGAACUGUGUAGACCCAGUAUAUUUCAUCUGGAUCAUUUACAAAAGUGCUUUGGUGUAAGCCUACUUGACUUCUCCAUGGCCAAGGAGGAGAUCUACUAAAUGGCUUUGUACCAUUAUAGAUAAAGAUUUGCGGGGUGCCAUUUGGGUUGAUCAUAAGAGAAAAGUCUCCAAUCCCAGGGUCUUCAGCUGAUCUCCAUGAUGUUAGGAACCGAUCAAUUCCUAAUUUUCGAUCCAGCCCCAGUUUCAUUCCAGGAAGCAUGAUGUUCGUAGGAUAAUCGAAGCUUUGCCAUACAGUUUUUCUGCUUCUUUUCCUGACCAAUAUCAAAUUUCCUGAAUCCAAGAGUUGAGCUUCACAAGUAUCAUUUUCUUCCACUGAAACAUUUGUAGACCACACAGGAAGCUUUUGGUCAUCGUUACCAUAGAGAACGAGGUUACCAUAUUGGUUUAUAAAGAGAAAUCCUGAGGAACCAAUGAUUGGAUCGUUCCUGUUUGCAACCCACACCACAGUUUGUUCUGGUACUUUAUGGUACCAAAUUCCAAGAUAUCUAUUGCUAGAACUACCUGGACUGAAAAAUCCUAGUGCAAAAUUAUUUCCUUCGGAGAUAAGAACGUCACCUUCUUUAAUGGUUUGGUUGGUCUUUAAGGAGUCUAGUGAUGUACAUGAUGAGAAUUGGAGCAGUAAAAGAGAAAAAAGCAGGAACAGUUUUUCAGCUUCCAUGAUGGGGUAAAGUGGAUCUUGGCUUUUGGAAAGUGUCAAAUUUUGCUUUGUGGAGAAUGGAUAUGGCCUUCAGACAAGUCUCCAGAGAAGUUGCGUGACGGAAUUAGGCAUCUCUUUAAUGAGUUACUCUUUUCAACCUUCAAAGUCUAGGCAAUGACUUGUUUUUGUUAAAAUAUCAAUUCAGAUUUUUUGGAAACGACACAGUCCUCUAGUUUUAGAAAUAUGUAGUAGGUUGCAGACACAUACAAAAACGACAUAAAAAAGACAAUAAACACAAAGAAAGAUAGAAUUGCGUCGAAAAAGACAUCAACCAUAAUAAUUAUAAUUCAAACUUUUAUUAGUCAAUAUUUUUCUAAACAAAUUUAAAUAUUAAAACUUUUCAUAAAUCACCAUAAACAAAACUUAAAAAUUAAUAAAAUAUUUCUAAAGUAAAUAGAAAAAAAUAUUAAAUCAACUUGGAAAAUAUGACAUUUUCAAAAUAGUAAUUUCUAGUACUAGCUUGGAGGCCUUAACGAGCUUAGAUGCCUUCAUAAAUCAAACCCUAUACAGAGAUCAUGGCUUCUAGAAACAAAAUUUAUGUCCAUUAUUUUAAGGCCAUGUGUUGGAUAAAAAUCUCUUACAUCAAUCUCCCCAUGUUGGAAAUAACUGGUCUUCAAGUUCAAAUUGUUCUUGUUUUGACCUCAUGAAUGCUCAAUCAAAGCUGUAAAACUCCCUUCCUUUCUUCCGUUAAGGUAUAUAACAAUAUUAGAUAUCAACUUUAGUUCUUUAUUAAUACAUGUUGUAUCUAUAUAACCCCUGAACAAUUCUACCUUUAUGAUAAUAAUAAACUUAUAAUUAAAAGGAUCAACAUAACCUAAAUCAAUAAUUUAUUUUUGCUACUUUGCACUUAAUUUCUAACCUAUCAAUAUGAACACCAUUGAUGACAUUAUUGCUACUUUGCAAUCAUUGUUUAUGCUAUUAUUAUUAUCAAAAGUUUGGCUAGGUGAUCAUAUAUAUAAUUUUAGUUUUCUUUGUUAUUUUUUUUUCAUUUGGAUCAUUUUUGUUUCUGAGUUUUUUAGAACUUGAUUUUGGUUCUUGAGAAAUAAUUAGAGUUGUCAGUGUCACGCAAAAAAAUAAGGAAGGAUUUGAUCUUCCAUGUGUUUGGUCUGACAAAUAUAAGCUAUGUGGCUUUCUAACUUUUUUUUUUUAUGUGUUUCUUGUGCUAUAUUGUUGAUUCCUCUAUUUGUUGCAUGAUCUUAGGAGGUUUUUAAAUAUUGUAAGGAUCUCUUGCUUUCUCAAUUUAUUGUAUUUUGUUGCGCUCUAUUUUUUUUAUUUUUUUGCAUAUAUAUUGUGUUUGAGCAUAGCAUGUGUUGUUAUUUAUUUUUGGACCUCACAUAAACAUACAAAAUACAAAAAAAAAUUAAAAAAAUGAAAAAAAAAUAUACAUCAGUGGGAAGAACAUGAAAAAUAUCUAGAAAAUUGCCACAGACUAGUGGGGGGGAAUCAAAAUAUUCAAAGUUAAAAAAUUGACAGUUCAAUUUUGAAUCAUGAAGGCCAUAUUAACAAGAAAAGUUCAAUCUGAGAAGAAAAAUUCGAAAUUAGAUGUUUAAUAACUCAAUUGGAAAUUUUCAAGGUUUAAUUGUAUUUAUUGAGGGCUUAAUUGCAAUGAAAAUUAGUUUUAAAGUUCAAUUUGGACUUUAAUAGGAAGAAAUUGAAGUUUAGGGGUUGAAUUGUAAUUUUGAAAAGCUAAUUUAGUAAGUUAAAAACAUGACAUGACAUCAUUAAUAUGAUGCGGCAGAUGAAGUGAUGGUGCACCCUUCCUGUUAUAACCCAAUUUUAGCCCAUUGGCUUUUAAAUUUAAUUUUACAAGGUUUAAAAUUUAAAAUUAAAAUAUAAGAGAUUUAUUUCGAUGAAAAGUGUGAUUUGUCAACUUGCAUGAAAACUAGAGACUAUAAUGUGCUUUUGUCAUUCUAUCAUUAUCUUCAAGAUAAUCUCUAUCUUCAAGAUAAUCCUUGUCUUCAAGAUAAAGAUACUUAUCCGCUUCCAAAUUUGAUUCUUAAUCAAAUUCAAACUUCAAAAAAGAGAAUGAGUUUAAUUGAAACUUAAAAGGAGAGAACCCAAAAAAAAAAAAAACCAAGAAUAGAGGGAGGAGAGACUGAAAACAGGAGAAGAAGGAGAGCAUUCUCCUGUCGGUGCCUACACUGCUACCUUCGCCUUCGGUUUCACCAGGUAAAGUCUUCUUCUUCUCUCUGUUUUUGUGUAAUUGUUGCAAGAAAACAGUGCCAAUGUAACUUAAUUACCUUCAUAUUGUGCAGUGCACGCGUGGGUUGAGCCACGCUUGCUUGCUGCCCAGCCAGGUCACUGGCUUGGAGCCAGUGACCAGGCUGGGUUGGCUGGGUCCAGCCCAGCCCAUGUUGGUUGGGCUCAACCCAACCCCAAAAAAAAGAAAAGAGAGUGGGUCGAAUCUGGGCUAUAGGCUCAGCCCACCCAAAUUAUGUUUAUUAAGGGUGUGUUUGGCAAAACACACCCUUAUGUCUUGGUCAUAAUUUUUAUGCUCAUUUCAGUUUGAUAUUUGGCCAAACGAGCCCCUUUUUGAUACCAGAAAAUUUCAAAAAUAUUUGGGGAUCUUUGUUGGUUGAUUUGUGGGCCCCUCGCACUUUGAUUUAUUUUUUUUUCUUUGCAUUUUGUAUUUGUUUUAAGUUAUGUGCUCAAUCUGUGGCCUAUUAUUGUUAAAUGCAAAUAUGUCGUGCAAUGUUUUUUUUUUAUUUCCAUCUAAAAAGGGCAAAUAAUAAUAAAGGAUAAACAAGAAAAAAAAUGACAUAGAAAAUUUCUUCUUCAAAUGCAUUUUUUGCGAAAAUAUUCACUGACGCUAGAGUCAGGAGUAUCGUAUUUUUUGGAUUUGUGCGAUAUUUACCAACACCAGAGUUGUAAAUAUUCGUAGGAAUUGUUCACUGAUACCAGAGUCCGAUGGUGAAACCUGAAAAUAUUUUAAUAUGGUGCAUCCUUAGUUUUCAAUUGAAUCAAGAAACAAACAUCUUGGGUUAUGUAUAGACAAAUUCAAUUCAUUCGGAUCAUUUGAUGCUCCUUGUUGGCCCGUGAUACGUUUUACAAAUUGUCACCAAACAUAUGUAUGAGGCCGAAGUUCAUGUUUUUAUCAACAGUCAUACCUGGUUAUAAUAGUCCGAGUUAAAAUAUAGAUAUUUGUCUUCGGUGGUGGUUGGAAGGAUUUCAAACCUGCAUACAUCUCUGAGGCCAUGUGGACAAAAUAUAUUUAGCAUGUGAUGUCUGAUCAUUUUGUGUGACAAUCACACUCUAGUGCGAAGAACUAGAACUAGUAAGUUAACGAAUCUGUUAUCCACACACCGACAGCUCUAUUCUAUUUGUUUCGCAUGCGAAGCAGAUGAUAAAAUUCUUUUUUUAUUAUAUAUAUUUUUUAUUUGUUGUUUUUUAUAAAUAUAUUUAAUUUACAGUUUUAUCUUGCAGUAUACAGUUUUUGGACACAAACCAAGCCCCAUUGAUGACCGCAAAAAAGUUAAUGGUGCAAUUUCAUAUUUUAGAUUAGCUAGGACACAUUAUGGUUAAUUGAUAAUUCCUAGAAAGUAUUUUAAUUCAUUGCAAGCAUUCGUGCGUUUUGGAUAAGAUAUGGUCAUCAAGCCAGGUGGCACGCAUCGUUUGGCAGAGACCACAGGCGUUGGAAUUUUUGCCUUAUGGUGUUUUUUCUAUUUUAACUUUUCAGUCCAAGUUUUGUAUAGUUGUGAGACCUUUUAGUUAGGGUAAGUGAAAAUAUCAUAAUCUCAAUUAUGAGUCUGAUGAAAAUAAUAUUUAUUUAAUAUUCUAAUAUUUAUUUGAUUUGAUUUUUAUUAGUUAUGUCAACUUAAUGUAUUAUUUAAAACAAUUUUAUACUUUAGUGGCAUUCCACAAUUGAUAUUCAAAAUUUAUUAAAUCAGAUUUUUUUUUUAAUUUCUUAACUACAAUUUUCAAAUAUAAAGAACUUUGAUUUAUUAAUUUCAAAGAUAUUAUUUUUUAAUAUUUAAAUAGUUAUAUAUUAAAAUAUAUUUUUUAAAUAUUAAAAUAAAAAUAUAUUGGAUAGACGUGAAUCAACUCAAGUUAAUUAUUUAAAUUCAUGAUCAAGGUUAUAAGACCGUUAUAAUCUUGUAAAAAUAUAAAACAAAUAAUCAUGUUCAAUCCAAAAGUAAUCUAAUGACGAAGAAUAAAAUUUAAAAUUAAAAUACUCAAUUAAAAAAGAGUUAACAAAAGAUCUAAGUGCACUCGAGUUAAUUUGCUAAAUCCGCGAUCCGGGUUAUUUAUUUAACUAGAUAUAAAAAAUUUAAAAAUAAAAAACAAACAUGUCAUGCGUGUGGGAUUAAAAAAUAAAAGGCAUUUAACUAACAAAGGGUUUUUUUUUUUUUUUAUCUUCAAGGGGGCUGAAAAUGCAUUAAGUUAAAAAAAAAAGCAUUUUUCAAAAAAUUAACAAUCCAUCCAGAGCAUGACCCACCCACGCACCUGAUCUAUAAAAAUAGGAAAUGAAAAUAAAAAUACUCAUUGAAAAAAAUCGUUUUAAAAAAAUAAGAAUGAGCUUGAGUUAACUUUUUAUAGUCGCUAUAAAGGUUAUAUAUUCCACUGAAUUUAAUAAUAUAUUAUUUAUUAUGUUAUUUUUCAUUUACUACACAACAAUUAAGGGCAAGAUUUUUUUUGUAUCAAAUAAAAAUAAAUAAAUAAAUAGAACAGGCGCGUGGGAUAAAACAAUGGCCUAUUUUUUGUAAGUUAAAUAAGAAAAAAUGGUUUUUUAUAAGCUAAUUAAAAAAUAAAUAAAAAAGAGGUCGUAUGUAUUACCUAAGGAAUGACCCCAAAAGCAUACCAAACAAAGUGAGUAUAUCAUGUGUAUAUCUAAGCAAUUCACUUAAUUUAAUUAAAAAAACAAAUUUUUUUUUAUGAAAAGCUAAAUUUAACAAAAAAACGACAAAAAAACAAAACCUGACCUAAGUCAUUUUUAAAAUUAGUAAAAAACCCCUAUAGACAACAAAUAAAAAAAACAAACUUAAUCUUGAAUUAAAUCAAAUAUUAAAGGAUAAAAUUAAAAAACAUGAGCUAAAAAAAAAAAAAUUCAACCAGAGCUAAUCUUCUAAAUCUAGGUUUAAUAAAUAAGUUUAAUUCAAUGUUGAAGGAUCAAAUAAAAAAAACAUCGUAAAUUUUAUUGUCAAAGCAAAAAAAGAAGCAAUAAAAAAAUGAAGGUGGAUGAAAUCGUAAAAAAAAUCAAUUUUAAAAUGAUCUCAAAUAAAACAAAUAGCACUAAAAAAAAUAGGUACCAGUUGAUAGAUUAAAAAAAAUUUAAAGGAGAAUGAAAUUGAAAAUAAAUUUUGAUUUUACAAAAUAAUCAAAUGAAAAAAAAAUCAAUUGAAAGAAUAAGGACCAAAUCAAAAAGAAAAAUAAAUUUAAUGGCUACUAUGAAAUUUUGGAAGGCUAGCAUGGAAAUCAAAUAGAAAAAUAAAGAAAGGAAUAGCCAACCGCGGCCAAACUGAAUGGACUUACAUCACACGUGCCGCCUAGGAAGGCAGGUCGCGUUAUAAUGAAUAAAAAAAAACCAAAGAAAACAAUUUUUGGUAGUUGUAAGCCGCAACACAUAUCACUUGAACACAACUGGGAGGCUUAUUCACUGGCGGCGUGUUCAACGAAUGCAUCAACCAUUUUUGCUUUUAUAUAUAAUAAUAAUAAUAAUAAUAAUAAUAAUAAAAGGAAAAGUAUGAAUUAGCUCUUAAGAGGCAAGGUUAGAAAAUUGUAAUUUCAAAAGCAAUAUAAUCAUUUUAUUGUCCUAUAAAAUAUAUAAAUCGUCCCUAAACCCAAGGAAAAUAGUUUUUUUUUUAAACAUUUAAGUAAUUAUAUUGUAUAAAAAAUUAAAAGCCCAAGAAGCCAAUGAUUAUUUUUAUAAUAAUCAAUUGAGCAUGUGAAAAGACUGCAUUCCUCUAAGAGAUAGGUAAAGUUUUUAGAUUGAGAAGGGCAAAAUAGUAAAUUCAUUACUAUAAUCCAUAAUAAUUCAACACAUAUCUAUAGUAAUUCUUCCAGGUUUAGGUUUUUGUUAAUUCUACAUGGAAAUCAGGAGUUGAUGUCUGAUAUAUUUUUUAGAACAUUAUAUAAUAUUUGAUUUCAAACAUGUUGUAAGCGAAAAUGGAAAAACGGGUAAAAGGGAGAAAAUUGACAUUGAAAUUGUGGGAUCGGAUAAUUGGUCUUUUCAAUGCAUUUUUCAAUUUUUUUAUAUAUAAAAUGCUUAAAAAACUGGAAAGACUGGAAAGAGAGUUUUGCACUUUCUUGGGCCAUGGUCCAGACAUGCUCAAACUUUGGAUAUGAAGACUUUUGGGCUUGAGUUUUAUAUAUAUAUAUAUAUAAUUAAAAAAAAUCAGAGAUUUCCUUGAGUUUAUUAUUCUAGAAAUCAACGCAAAAAAAUAAUUUGUCAAUUAUUGUUUUUUUAUAUAAAUAAAAAAACUGAAAUUAAUAUCUAAAAUUAUUAUAUAAUAAAAAAAAAACAAAGGGGUUAGAGAGUUUUAAUUUUACAUGUAUAGGAUCAAGAUAGGAAUAAUUUGAAAAUGAGACUAAUGAAGGAGAUUUUUUUUUCUAAAACUUUAUAUUAAUAAUAUAACUUUCAAUUUCACGGUUGAAUCAGCUAUAACUAUGUAAAAGAUUUCAAAAGCUUUGUAAAAAGUUCAUACCCGUCAGAGUUGAGAAGAGGACCAAAAAUUGUGACCGUUCUUGUUCCAACUGUGGGUUCGACAUGGCUGAUCAUUAGCAUAUUUGGUUAUUUGUGGCUCAGGAACAGAGGAGAAAAAGGCAAAGACAAAGCAAGCAUCAAAACAGAAGGUAGAUAGAGUAACUAUCCAUAAAAGAAUAGUUGACGAACACCACACCUAUAGCAUUCCAUAUGAUGAUGCUGUUAGGUUUCUUCCUUGACACUAGGCAGAAUGGAUCAGUUGUUUAGAAUCAGGUUGGGAGUCUUAGCAGUGCUGAAGAGCUUCAUCUGUUGUGAUGUACAGCAUAUUUGUUUUCAUUACAAAUCUAAUGAAACUUCAUAUCAGCAAUUAUUCAGACAGUACAGCUUCAGCGACUAGCAAUUUCAGAAAUUGUCACCUCAUUUACAGAACACUGUCCAUCUUCUACCUCUAAUGCUAUAUCAGGAUUAUUGUCAGAUUUUCUAAAGAGGAAUGCAGGUUGUUUUGGGGAAGGAAUCUCUGUUUCGUUACUCAACAUAAAAACAACCGCUAACAUAGAUGGUCUGUCCGCGGCAUCUUCUUGCACGCACAGUAGACCAAUUUGUAUGCAUUUCAAGGCUUCACGCGGAUCAUACAACUCCGCCAGUGAUGGAUCCACUAUCUCCAAUGCUUUGUCUUGUUUCCAUAAUUCCCACACCUGUGGUGUUCAUAUAAAUCAUUAACAUACAAGAAAUAAGAGCAGACAACAUCUAAAAUUGUGAUCAUUGAAAUUCAGCCAACAGCACACAUGGCUCUCCUAUAACUCACAUAUCCAAUCAAGGUCAAAGGAGGAUCCUGUUGAUAAAAUCUAUUGUUCUUCUUGCCACUCACAAUCUCUAGCAACACGACCCCAAAACUGAAAACAUUUGAUUUUACAGAAAAGUUUCCAAGCACAGCAUAUUCUGGUGACAUAUAGCCACUGCAUCAGAAAAACAAGAAUCUGAAGUUUUAGUAUUCCUGGUAAUCAAUGAUAGUACUUUGUCACUCGGUCUUUGUUUUAGGCAAAGGUACUUACAAUGUUCCUACAACUCUCCUGGUCCUAUCUUCUGUUUGGUUGCCUUCAAAUAUUUUUGCCAUUCCGAAAUCUGAUAUUUUUGGGUUCAUCUCUGCAUCCAGUAGAAUGUUGCUGCAUUUUAAAUCCCUGUGAAUGAUUCUCAACCUGGAAUCUUGGUGAAGAUAUAAAAUCCCACGAGCUAUUCCAACAAUAAUAUCAAAGCGAUUUCGCCAAUCCAAUAACAAUCUUCUGCUUUCAUCUGUCGAAACAAUUAUUUUUCAGACAGGUAAAAUUUGACAACUAGAGUAAAUCAGGGCAAUAAAUACUUGAAGAGACUUACGGAAAAGAAACGAGUCCAAGCUUUUGUUUGGCAAGUAUUCAUAGAUUAAGAUUUGUUCUCCAUCCUGAUUGCAGUAACCUAGAAGUUUAACAAGAUUCCUGUGUUGAAGCUUUGCAAUUACCAUAACUUCAUUUUUAAAUUCUUCUGUUCCUUGUCCUGAACUUCUAGAUAACCUUUUUAUUGCAACCUCCAGUCCAUUAGCCAGCAGACCCUAAAAUCAUCUUACAAGAUUAAGCCUCUGGACUACAAUUAUGCAAAUUAGAGAGGCCAUUUAGUUUUUAGCUAAAUGCAAGAAACUCAACCUUAUAAACAGAGCCAAAACCACCUUGCCCGAGUUUGUUAGCAGCAGAGAAAUUGUUAGUGGCCGCCGUUAUGGUGCUGAGCUUGAAAUAUUCCAAUUCAGUAGAAGUGCUGUUUACCUGCAGUUCAUUACCUUUUUUUGCUCUCUUCUUGAGCCACAAAUAAGCAAACAGGCUAAUGAGAAACCACAAUAAUGCAAUUGAUGGUGCUAAAACGGCCAGCAUCGUUUUUUCACGAGAAUUAUUUGACUUCCUUGUAGUGUCAGCUGCAUGAGAGUGAAAAGAAAAAAGAUUAACUCUAUAGGAAAAACCACCCCAUUUUCCCACGGAAAUAUGACAACACAUAUGGCAAAGGGUAGCCCUUUUGGCACCUAAAACGCACCAAUAUCUAUGGUUUCUUUCCUGCAGUAAAGAGCUUAUUAACUACAGUCAAGUGCAGUGACUAGCAUAGGAAAGCUCAUAUAAAUCAAUAUUUGUAAUGACAAUCCUAUGAAGUAGUAACUGAGCAGAAAAAGGGUACCUAAUUCAUAUGCAUCAAUACGAACAUACAGAUCAUGACUUUCACUCAUAUCAUAUCUAAUGUCUACUAAUUCCUUGUACCAAUUCAAACAACCAUCCCCUUUUCCGGGAAUCACAAUGACUGCGUAUGCAGAGCAUGAACAAUUCCUCUUGCAUUCCAGUUCACAGUCUGCACGACUCUUGCUCAUGUCCACCCAAGCUGCAGCUGAAGUGUCCGGAAGAAUUACAUUUUCCACCUUCACAAACCCUUCUCCAUUCUGGCACACCGAAGACGUAUGUAGCCGCUUCCUGACACAACCACCGGACCCAUCUCUCGUAGACCAUUCUAAUGGGUACUUGGGCUCGAACCCAGGUAAACAGGCACAUCCAAAUUCAUUUACAUUGGCGAGUUCACACGUACUAUAAGCACCACAAUUUCCAUAAUAGUGGCAUUGAAACUGAGGGCACUUCCAGUAUUCCUUCCACCGACCAUCACUUUCUCGCCAUGUUAAAGCCUUUG